CAAAUGGAUAGAAUCUUGUUAAAAAUCUGUGUUGACUCCUUUAGACAGUUUUUGAAUUUCCUUGGGAAUGGGGAGAGGUAUUCCAUAUUCUAUUUUCAUUUUACUGUAAAGGCAAGUGCAAGAUUAAAAACCUAGGAGGUGAUGGCACAAGUGGGCAUCCCUUUCAUUUCAGAAGACUAAAUACCUGGCCCUUCUUGAAAGUAAUUGAGCAACCCAGUAACCAAUAUCAGCAGAAUUUGGGAGACAGAAUUUUGGCAUGUACCAAGAAUACAUGAGCUUGAUCAGUUUCACUUUCUAUAUGUAAAAAUUCUAAACCAGUAGUGUCACGUCUGCAGCUGCUGUUGCAUUUCGGCCCAACUUAGUUUUCACCAAGUGUGAGUGCAGCACAAUGCCACAGAAAUGAGGGCAUAAGAAAAACAUCAGAUUUAUUAUUCAUAGCAACAGCUCCAAGUCUAGACAGCUCCAAAGUAAAUCUGAGCAAGGACUUGCUGUGACUUUGUGACCAAAGACUUAAUGUUCUCAUAUCAUUAGUGGGCUCUGGCACUUUAUCAAACCUGUAAUAUUGACUAACCACCAGUAAUUGCUGAUUUAUGGGCAAACUUUUCUCAGUCUUGUUUUCUUCAGGACUCUAACAGACCUUCAUCUUCUGAAAACACGUUGAAUCAGACAACUGAGGAUUGCAUUCACCAACAUUAUAAAUUUUCACUGGGAGUCUACAGAGUACUCAAAGAAAUGGAAAAGCGAGUCAUCUGGUAAUGCUUUGUUGGUAACCAUCUGACAAGCUCAGUACACAGAGAAGAUGGCUGGGAAGGCAUAAGAGGUCACUGGGAUUCACCUCUACCUAGUCAUCCUAUGAUGAGCCAUAUAGAACUAUCAUGAAAAUAAACCCAUCCUCCAGAAUUUACCAUUCAAUAACUUUAUGCAAUGGAAAUUUUCAAGGCAGAUCUUCAUUGGAUUAAUGAAGAGGACCUCUGUGUGCCUCAAGAAAUGGAGAAUGGGUUGCAAAGUGCUUCCCACAGCACUGCCCUGGAGCAGAGAGGGUACAGAUUACAGGGAGACAAGAUAGCGAGCAGCGAACACUGCACAGGUAUAAAAACCCCACUCCUAGGAAAACAAGCAGCUACAGCAGGCAUUUUGCUGAACAUGUUGUCGGGGAGAAAUACAGCUGAUAAAGAAGCAGAUGCUGAUGGAAAGGCUGCCCAUGCUCGGGAACUGACAAUAACAGCUCUGGUAUGAAGAGGUGAUCUGUAACACACAGACUAUAGAGAACGUGAACAGUGUGGGAUACAGAAAAAAAUCAAUAAGCCAGUUCAAUACAAGAAGAGAAGUCAACCAGAACAGGACAGAAACCAUUACCUUAGCCACACCUGGAACCACACUGGGUAUGCCCUGGAGUUUUGAAUAUUUAUUGAUAGUUAAGUUCAUUGUACAACCUGUAGGGUAAGGAAGGAGCAGUGUGCUUGUCAUGUUACAAAAGUCCAUGAAGACCUAAGGGCCUGCAGGAUAUUCAGCCACUUUUUACGGAGAGUCUACUAAACUGUGUUUUAUCCCCCCUCAAAAGCUGGCAUGAGAUAUGCCUCCAGCUUCAAGCAAAACAACUCUGCCACUUUAGCAACUGCAGAUUCGAAAGAGCUUGAUAUAGGAACCAAAGGCAACCUAAUGGUGGAUCCAACACCUGUUUAAAUGGAGCAUUCCUUCUUGACUGGUGGCAAAUCCACACAAUCAUUUCUUAUGAGAACAAAGAUGUCCUGAGCAAGGGUGAGCUGCAGUUCUGCUUAUUGACAGAGCAAGCCCAGAUUUGAAAUAUAAGGAUAGGCUUUUCGGUAUAAAUUACUGUACACCUCCAUAGGUGUAUGCUUUCCCUCACACUGCCCUUCUAGCAUCUCCUGGUAUUUUCUGUACCCAUCCUUGCUCUUAGAGGAAAACAGGCACAACAUCUACAUGGAUUAUCUUUAAAAAAUAAAAAAGUCAAAGCAGAAGAAAGAACAAUAAUCCAUAGAUAGUUGUGAGUGGCAUGAGAAUGUGUCAUGUAAAGGUAGCAUGGAAUAAACAGAUAAGUGGGAGAGUAGGAUAAUGGAUGGUGAAUGUUCAGGAUCAGAGAGAGAAAGAACAAGAGAGAGAGACAGAGAGAUAGAUCUUGAAUAAAAGACUGAGAAGCUCCUAGGAAUUUCAGGCUAAACAGUAGAAUAGGAGGAGGAUGAUUUAAGAUGAGUUCCUGUGUACUAAGUAUCUCAUCCUUCAAAUUUUGAGACAGACUCAAAUAAAGACCAGAAGUCUUGACUAGGCCACAUAUAUCCAAAUGCAACAUGUAUUUAAAUGUUUAUGGAUGUUUCCAUUAGGGUCUGAGAGCAUUGAGCAUUGGGAUAUAAUAACAAAAGCACAAUUCUAGUCCCAGUCUUCCUGCUCUAGACCUGGCUCUGACAUCGACAUAUCUUGGGCAAGUUACUCAGUUCUCUGGCCUUCAGUUUAUUCAUUUGUAAAAUGACCAGUCUCGCUGGAUGAUCAGUGCAGAAUUGUAGUCCCUUACUACUCUAAAAUCCAUAUUACAUUCAUAGUAGAAUACCUUUGUAAUGCUGAUAUGAGGAAAUGGAUUUACUAAUAGGAAGUGCUCUGGCCAGAUUUUAUUAUUUGAAGUAAUGCAUCAUGGAUAUAGCCAGAUAUGGGCGAUAAUAAGAUAGAUACAAAUAUGGUUUUGUUGUACCCUCUUCUAACCAGUAUUUCAAGCUUAAAUAAAAAUGUAACUAAUGAAUGAAAAAAUAGUGAAUUUAAUUUAUAUUACUUUGAAAUGUAUAUUGUAGCCAAUUUUAAGGGGUAGUAUGUAAAACAUAUACACACGCAUACAUAUACACACAUAUGUCCGGAAUUUGUUGCCUCAAAAACAGAACUCUAGGUAAGCAUUCACACAGAUCCCCUCCAGUCACUCCAAAGGCACUGACUGCUCUCCACCAUCCACAAAUUUUGCCAUUCCACACAGAAGGAGGGAGACAGAUUCAAACGUGUACAGAAUUUUUAAAAAUAAUUUUCCUUUCUGUAGUUCCUCUUAUGAACUACAUGUUGGUAGAGUAUUUUAUUAACUAUGCUGAGAAUUAUGCUACUUCAAAUACUGCUAGGGUGGAUUUCUAUUGUUU
rnacentral:lncRNA from 1 species